AUACGGAGGGUGCAAGCGUUACUCGGAAUCACUGGGCGUAAAGGAUGCGUAGGCUGGAUGUCAAGUUGGAAGUGAAAUCCUAUGGCUUAACCAUAGAACUGCUUCCAAAACUGGCAACCUAGAGUGAGGGAGAGGCAGAUGGAACUAGUGGUGUAGGGGUAAAAUCCGUAGAUAUCACUAGGAAUACCGAUUGCGAAGGCGAUCUGCUAGAACUCUACUGACGCUAAGGCAUGAAAGCGUGGGGAGCAAACAGGAUUAGAAACCCGGGUAGUCC
rnacentral:rRNA from 1 species